GUUCUGACUCGGCAGCACAUAUACAAAAAUUGGAAUGAUACAGAGAAGAUUAGCAUGGCCCUUGCACAAGGAUGACCCACAAAUUCAUGAAGAAUUAGGUCCAUGA
rnacentral:snRNA from 1 species